GACGAACGCUGGCGGCGUGCUUAACACAUGCAAGUCGAACGGAAAGGCCCUGCUUUUGUGGGGUGCUCGAGUGGCGAAUGGGUGAGUAACACGUGAGUAACCUGCCCUUGACUUUGGGAUAACUUCAGGAAACUGGGGCUAAUACCGGAUAGGAGCUCCUGCUGCAUGGUGGGGGUUGGAAAGUUUCGGCGGUUGGGGAUGGACUCGCGGCUUAUCAGCUUGUUGGUGGGGUAGUGGCUUACCAAGGCUUUGACGGGUAGCCGGCCUGAGAGGGUGACCGGCCUCAUUGGGACUGAGAUACGGCCCAGACUCCUACGGGAGGCAGCAGUGGGGAAUAUUGCACAAUGGGCGGAAGCCUGAUGCAGCAACGCCGCGUGCGGGAUGACGGCCUUCGGGUUGUAAACCGCUUUCGCCUGUGACGAAGCGUGAGUGACGGUAAUGGGUAAAGAAGCACCGGCUAACUACGUG
rnacentral:rRNA from 1 species